GGAUGACCCGCUCCCUGCACACGAAUUCCACGAUGAACGGAAACCUCUGAAACCACAAACAAAGCAAACCUUUGUCCAUCAAGUUGUUUCUGUCAGGGGGUUCCCCACACGGUCACCAAGUCUACCAUAUAAGGGUCUUACUAUUUGGCCCUGACUGGCCCGGAACUCACUCUGUAAACCAGGCUGUCCUCAAAGUCGUUGGGAUCCACCUGAUUGAAGGCAUAUAUGCCACCCCACUCGUCAAGGAACAAGAUGUACAACACCCAGCUCCUUCUCAUGCCUACCUGGACACUGCCAUGCUUCCUGCCUCCAUGGACUGACCCUCUGAACCUGUAAGUGAGCCCCAAUUGUUGUCCUUUAUAGGAGUUGCCUUGGUCAUGGUGUCUGUUCACAGCAAUGGAAACCCUAACUACGACAAUCUGUUACCACGCCUGUCUGCAUUUGAAUGUGGUGUACAUGCCACGUGUUAUCAGAUACGUGUGAUUAGCAACUCAAGACAACUGAAAAGCUCAACUCUCUCUGUUAUACCAAACAAAUGUGGGUGAAUUAAAUAAGGUUAACAGUGGGACUUUAUUAUAAGAACACCGCUCAUUUCAUUUUAUUAUUUAUUUAUUUAUUUAUUUACUUAGCAUUUAUGUGCCUGUUU
ensembl:lincRNA Gm42485 predicted gene 42485